rnacentral:rRNA from 1 species
UAAUACGGGGGGAGCAAGCGUUGUUCGGAUUUACUGGGCGUAAAGGGCGCGUAGGCGGUCAUGACAAGUCACUUGUGAAAUCUCCGGGCUUAACUCGGAACGGUCAAGUGAUACUGUCAGACUAGAGUGCAGAAGGGGCAACUGGAAUUCUCGGUGUAGCGGUGAAAUGCGUAGAUAUCGAGAGGAACACCUGCGGCGAAGGCGGGUUGCUGGGCUGACACUGACG